GGGGUGCAAGACCUCGCCACACUGCUGAGUAACACGUAGUCAACCUGCCCUGAGGUGGGGAAUAAUCUCGCGAAAGUGAGGCUAAUGCCCCAUAAUCAAAGGAUACUGGAACGUUCCUUUGACAAAACCUACGGGGCCUCAGGAUGGGACUGCGGCGUAUCAGGCUGUUGUCAGGGUAAACACCUGACAAACCGAUAACGCGUAGGGGCUAUGAGAGUAGGAGCCUCCAGAUGCCCUCUGAGACAUGAGGGCAGGGCCUACGGGUCGCAGCAGGCGCGAAAACUUUCCAAUGCAUUAGCGUGUGAGAAGGGUAGCUUGAGUGGUGCAACUUAGUUGCACCUUUUGCCAUGUCUAGAAAGCAUGGCGAAUAAGGAGUGGGCAAUACGGGUGCCAGCCGCCGCGGUAAUACCCGAACUCCGAGUGGCCAUCUCGAUUAUUGGGCCUAGAGCGUUCGUAGCCGGCUCGGCAAGUCCCUGGUGAAAUCCGGCAGCUAACUGUCGGGCGUGCUGGGGAUACUACCGGGCUUGGGAACGGGAAAAGUGGGAGGUAUUCGGCGUGUAGGGGUUAAAUCCUUUAAUCCGCCGAGGGCCACCUGUGGCGAAGGCGUCCCACUGGAACGUGUCCGACGGUGAGGGACGAAAGCUGGGGGAGCGAUUGGGAUUAGAUACCCCAGUAGUCCCAGCUGUAAACUAUGCCCGUUUGGUGUCGCAUGACUUACGAGGUCUUGCGGUGCCGGAGUGUAGAUGUUAAACGGGGCCGCCUGGGGGAGUACGGUCGCAAGACUGAAACUUAAAGGGAAUUGGCGGGGAGAGCACACAAUGGGGUGGAGGCUGCCGGUUCAAUUUGGAUU
rnacentral:rRNA from 1 species